CUAACUCAAAUUUCUAUGGAGCUGGAACGUUUGCUUACGUUUGCCACUAGAGGCGCUGUUCCAAAUCCAUACAAAUUUGAGUUA
rfam:Bombyx mori DNA, contig: Bm_scaf1_contig391, strain: p50T/Dazao, build 2, whole genome shotgun sequence.